rnacentral:rRNA from 1 species
AAGGGAAUCUUCGGCAAUGGACGAAAGUCUGACCGAGCAACGCCGCGUGAGUGAAGAAGGUUUUCGGAUCGUAAAACUCUGUUGUUAGAGAAGAACAAGGACGUUAGUAACUGAACGUCCCCUGACGGUAUCUAACCAGAAAGCCACGGCUAACUACGUGCCAGCAGCCGCGGUAAUACGUAGGUGGCAAGCGUUGUCCGGAUUUAUUGGGCGUAAAGCGAGCGCAGGCGGUUUCUUAAGUCUGAUGUGAAAGCCCCCGGCUCAACCGGGGAGGGUCAUUGGAAACUGGGAGACUUGAGUGCAGAAGAGGGGAGUGGAAUUCCAUGUGUAGCGGUGAAAUGCGUAGAUAUAUGGAGGAACACCAGUGGCGAAGGCGGCUCUCUGGUCUGUAACUGACGCUGAGGCUCGAAAGCGUGGGGAGCAAACAGG